AAAUUGAAGAGUUUGAUCAUGGCUCAGAUUGAACGCUGGCGGCAGGCCUAACACAUGCAAGUCGAACGGUAACAGGAAGCAGCUUGCUGCUUUGCUGACGAGUGGCGGACGGGUGAGUAAUGUCUGGGAAACUGCCUGAUGGAGGGGGAUAACUACUGGAAACGGUGGCUAAUACCGCAUAACGUCGCAAGACCAAAGAGGGGGACCUUCGGGCCUCUUGCCAUCAGAUGUGCCCAGAUGGGAUUAGCUUGUUGGUGAGGUAACGGCUCACCAAGGCGACGAUCCCUAGCUGGUCUGAGAGGAUGACCAGCCACACUGGAACUGAGACACGGUCCAGACUCCUACGGGAGGCAGCAGUGGGGAAUAUUGCACAAUGGGCGCAAGCCUGAUGCAGCCAUGCCGCGUGUAUGAAGAAGGCCUUCGGGUUGUAAAGUACUUUCAGCGGGGAGGAAGGUGUUGUGGUUAAUAACCGCAGCAAUUGACGUUACCCGCAGAAGAAGCACCGGCUAACUCCGUGCCAGCAGCCGCGGUAAUACGGAGGGUGCAAGCGUUAAUCGGAAUUACUGGGCGUAAAGCGCACGCAGGCGGUCUGUCAAGUCGGAUGUGAAAUCCCCGGGCUCAACCUGGGAACUGCAUUCGAAACUGGCAGGCUUGAGUCUUGUAGAGGGGGGUAGAAUUCCAGGUGUAGCGGUGAAAUGCGUAGAGAUCUGGAGGAAUACCGGUGGCGAAGGCGGCCCCCUGGACAAAGACUGACGCUCAGGUGCGAAAGCGUGGGGAGCAAACAGGAUUAGAUACCCCGGUAGUCCACGCCGUAAACGAUGUCUACUUGGAGGUUGUGCCCUUGAGGCGUGGCUUCCGGAGCUAACGCGUUAAGUAGACCGCCCGGGAGUACGGCCGCAAGGUUAAAACUCAAAUGAAUUGACGGGGGCCCGCACAAGCGGUGGAGCAUGUGGUUUAAUUCGAUGCAACGCGAAGAACCUUACCCGGUCUUGACAUCCACAGAAGAAUCCAGAGAUGGAUUUGUGCCUUCGGGAACUGUGAGACAGGUGCUGCAUGGCUGUCGUCAGCUCGUGUUGUGAAAUGUUGGGUUAAGUCCCGCAACGAGCGCAACCCUUAUCCUUUGUUGCCAGCGGUUAGGCCGGGAACUCAAAGGAGACUGCCAGUGAUAAACUGGAGGAAGGUGGGGAUGACGUCAAGUCAUCAUGGCCCUUACGACCAGGGCUACACACGUGCUACAAUGGCGCAUACAAAGAGAAGCGACCUCGCGAGAGCAAGCGGACCUCAUAAAGUGCGUCGUAGUCCGGAUUGGAGUCUGCAACUCGACUCCAUGAAGUCGGAAUCGCUAGUAAUCGUGGAUCAGAAUGCCACGGUGAAUACGUUCCCGGGCCUUGUACACACCGCCCGUCACACCAUGGGAGUGGGUUGCAAAAGAAGUAGGUAGCUUAACCUUCGGGAGGGCGCUUACCACUUUGUGAUUCAUGACUGGGGUGAAGUCGUAACAAGGUAACCGUAGGGAACCUGCGGUUGGAUCACCUCCUUACCUUAAAGAA
rnacentral:rRNA from 1 species